rnacentral:lncRNA from 1 species
GGAUUACACAAUUAUUUCAAGAUAAUUAUCCUUGGCUACAAGGGUUAAUAACAAAGUUACUUAAACAAUAGAUAAUAUAGAGCAAUUUUAUUACAUGGCAUCCCAUGGGUGGGUUGAAUUAAAGUAGAGCAGACAGAGAACAACAGUUGUAUUAGGGAUGUUGACAAAGUCACCCAUUGGGUGCACUAAAGGAUCUCUUAGGUCAGGUUUUUUAAAGUUACCAGCAAAACGUAUUGAUUGUGAAAUUUCAAGUGCACCAUUAUCCUGUCAAAUGAAAAAGGUAGGCAUUAAGAGGGGUCAAAGUCUCAUUAUGAUAUGGAGUCUUUUUCUGAUGUCUUGG